rnacentral:ncRNA from 1 species
GCCGGGAGAGAGCGCAUUAGCGCCGCCGAAGGGGUAGAUGCAAUAAACUCUCAGGCAAAAGGACCGGGCCU